rnacentral:rRNA from 1 species
UACGUAGGGUGCGAGCGUUGUCCGGAAUUAUUGGGCGUAAAGAGCUUGUAGGCGGUUUGUCGCGUCUGCUGUGAAAAUCCGGGGCUCAACCCCGGACUUGCAGUGGGUACGGGGCAGACUAGAGUGUGGUAGGGGAGACUGGAAUUCCUGGUGUAGCGGUGAAAUGCGCAGAUAUCAGGAGGAACACCGAUGGCGAAGGCAGGUCUCUGGGCCACUACUGACGCUGAGAAGCGAAAGCAUGGGGAGCGAACAGG